CCCCCCCCCAGGAAAGAUGAGGCCAAUUAGCAUAAAUGGGCGUCUUUUACCUUCUUUCUCACAUUGGCGCAAAAAAUGUGUGUCCAUGUCAGCCCCAUGUGUUAACAUGUAGCCUAUACGUUUCGUCUUUCGUCUUUGUUCACACCACCACUGAAUGCAUGCUUGGUUGGUAUGGCACCACAUGAGAAAGUAGGUUAAAACGCCACUUGAUGCUAAGUGGCCUCGUCUUCCAUGGGAAAAAAAAUACGCUUAGAAACUUACCGUCCUGUGUGCCUACUGUCCCGAAAUCGAAAGCUCCCUAUUAGCUUAGUUAUGGGGCGCGUGAUAGCUAAUAUGUUUUCCCCCUGGCUGAUGCAGGGGAAUAACAGCGAUCUCAGACUUGAAAUCAAGUCUUGAAACCAAGUAAAUUAUUGUUGUGGUGGUUUAUAAACCAUGUGUAGCCCAGAGCUCAAAAGGUGAUAGCGCCCUCAAGGCUGGAACAGGUGAUAGCGCCCUCAAUUGACUCGAGAUGUUCAGGCCAGGUGAGAGUGUUUUAUGGCAGACAUGUUUGUUGUUAUGCAUGUCAUGUAAAAGUUUGCUCAUCAUUUUGUUUUUUGAAAUAUAAUAGUUGAGGGAGAAAUAAUAACCUCCUGUUAGCAGGUUUUGUGUUCCUGCAAACCAGUAAAGAUUUAUUGGCAGUUGUUGGCUCUCAGAUCUCAGAUCUACAAUCUUAGAUCUUCUCUAUGAAUGGCUUUCUCAAGUUGAAUAAACUCAGAACUGUUGGAGUGUUGGUACUUGGUGACGAAUGAAACUGCGGACCUUCCACAUCUGGACUCGCUGUCUGCUGGACUGUGGAAUGCGUGGACUGCUGGACUGGGUCUAGACGUACUACCUAGCUGCAACAAGUUUCCCCGGGACUUCUGAACUAUUUGACCUACUGCGUACCUACAUCUGUACAUGUAGCUGCAAGGUGUCGAGUGGAGGAGGAAUUACAGUGCCCGUAUCCUUGAUAUUAACCGCGGAAUUGAACUCGUGAACUGAUAAAUCGGAUAUUAAUCGCGGAAUUGAACUCGUGAACUGAUAAAUCUAGGAUCCUAGUGUUUUGAGAUUGUUUAUUACUAUUGGCCAAUAGUUAGUAUACAGCUGUUAGAGUUUUAUUGCAGUUUGCAAUUUUUUUCUAAAAGUUAAAGUUUGUUUAAUAUCUUGACGAAGAAAGAGCUGUGAAGAGCAUUAAAAGUGGUUAUUUAAAAGUUUAAUUCUUUUGCACUGAGUCAGUUCGUGUGUGUGUUACACAUGUUUUUAAGAUGCCUUAAUGUUCAUGCUUUAUAACCAAAAACUGAUUACUAAAUCAUGACUUUCACGCUUCAAUAUUAUGGUUUAUAAACCAUGCUUUGUAGACCCACGAUGUUGAUGCUUUUAUAGUUCGUUUGUUGACCAUGUUUUUAGAACAGCUCAA